AGAAGUGGCCCUGUUUCGUGCCCAGAGCAGAAGAGAAUGAUGAAGGGCUCUGCUCUCCCAGGUCCUCCUGGUCUGUGUGUGUCCAGAUUUUGAGGGCCUCUCACAUACAUGGCUCUGGACCAUCCUUCCUCGAAGCAGCACAACCCGUCUGGAUGUCCUCCUCGUCUCAGGAAUUUUCUAAUAAGCUGUAAAUCCAGAGAUCUGACCACAGAACAAUAAAUGCCAAAGAUGAGUUCUAAAGAUCGGGAGACAGGGACCCAGAGAAGUGAAGAGGCAUGCCUUAGCCUGCACAGCAGAUGACGCAUCUCAAGACGGACCCAAGUUUUCUGACUCCGUCUCACAGCUUUGUCCCAUUUAUCAUGAAGAUGACUGCUGAUAACACUGCUACCUACGAGCUGAGCUUGCAUGCACAUUCCUGGUGUGUACACGCAUGCGCGCACGCUCCUGUGAUGUGCUAAGUGCACAGGAAGGAGACCAGGGCCCCGAGGCAUUCUUUUGAAGUCUAAGUACUGGUAUUUCAAAAGUUUAAUGAAACCUACUAGACUCUGAGCAAAAUUCGUUUUACGUUAACCUUAAUGAAAAGUUUAAUUAAGUUCUGACAGAAUUAA